AGCCCAGCAAUUCCUAUUCCUACCUCCUCGCGGUACGAUUAACCUUAGGGAAGAUCGGGUAACCAACCCCGGUGGGAACUUUGGUCGUAUGCUGACAGGGAAGG
rnacentral:ribozyme from 1 species